rnacentral:ncRNA from 1 species
GACAGACGCCAAGGCCAUUGAUGCACAAGCCGGGAUAGAAAAAUCAAUGACAGCCUUAGCCGCAGGCCUUGCUGGCGGUAAUCUGAUUUAUGA